UACGUAGGGACCAAGCGUUGUUCGGAUUUAUUGGGCGUAAAGCGCGUGUAGGCGGCUUUACAGGUCCGUUGUGAAAACUCGAGGCUCAACCUCGAGACGCCGGUGGAAACCGUAAAGCUAGAGUCCGGUAGGGGAACACGGAAUACCCGGUGUAGCGGUGAAAUGCUUAGAUAUCGGGUGGAACACCAGUGGCGAAGGCGGUGUUCUGGGCCGGAACUGACGCUGAGGAGCGAAAGCGUGGGUAGCAAACAGG
rnacentral:rRNA from 1 species